rnacentral:rRNA from 1 species
UACGAAGGGGGCUAGCGUUGCUCGGAAUCACUGGGCGUAAAGCGCACGUAGGCGGAUUGCUAAGUCAGGGGUGAAAUCCUGGAGCUCAACUCCAGAACUGCCUUUGAUACUGGCGAUCUCGAGUUCGGGAGAGGUGAGUGGAACUGCGAGUGUAGAGGUGAAAAUUCGUAGAUAUUCGCAAGAACACCAGUGGCGAAGGCGGCUCACUGGCCCGAUACUGACGCUGAGGUGCGAAAGCGUGGGGAGCAAACAGGG